CGUUGAUUUCACACUGCCGAGAAAAGCCUCUAGAUAGAAAAUAGGUGCCCGUACCGCAAACCGACACAGGUAGUCAAGAUGAGAAUUCUAAGGUGAGCGAGCGAACUCUCGUUAAGGAACUCGGCAAAAUGACCCCGUAACUUCGGGAGAAGGGGUGCUCUUUAGGGUUAACGCCCAGAAGAGCCGCAGUGAAUAGGCCCAAGCGACUGUUUAUCAAAAACACAGGUCUCUGCUAAACCGUAAGGUGAUGUAUAGGGGCUGACGCCUGCCCGGUGCUGGAAGGUUAAGAGGAGUGGUUAGCUUCUGCGAAGCUACGAAUCGAAGCCCCAGUAAACGGCGGCCGUAACUAUAACGGUCCUAAGGUAGCGAAAUUCCUUGUCGGGUAAGUUCCGACCCGCACGAAAGGCGUAACGAUUUGGGCACUGUCUCAACGAGAGACUCGGUGAAAUCAUAGUACCUGUGAAGAUGCAGGUUACCCGCGACAGGACGGAAAGACCCCGUGGAGCUUUACUGUAGCCUGAUAUUGAAAUUCGGCACAGCUUGUACAGGAUAGGUAGGAGCCUUUGAAACGUGAGCGCUAGCUUACGUGGAGGCGCUGGUGGGAUACUACCCUAGCUGUGUUGGCUUUCUAACCCGCACCACUUAUCGUGGUGGGAGACAGUGUCAGGCGGGCAGUUUGACUGGGGCGGUCGCCUCCUAAAAGGUAACGGAGGCGCUCAAAGGUUCCCUCAGAAUGGUUGGAAAUCAUUCAUAGAGUGUAAAGGCAUAAGGGAGCUUGACUGCGAGACCUACAAGUCGAGCAGGGUCGAAAGACGGACUUAGUGAUCCGGUGGUUCCGCAUGGAAGGGCCAUCGCUCAACGGAUAAAAGCUACCCCGGGGAUAACAGGCUUAUCUCCCCCAAGAGUUCACAUCGACGGGGAGGUUUGGCACCUCGAUGUCGGCUCAUCGCAUCCUGGGGCUGUAGUCGGUCCCAAGGGUUGGGCUGUUCGCCCAUUAAAGCGGUACGCGAGCUGGGUUCAGAACGUCGUGAGACAGU
rnacentral:rRNA from 1 species